UACGUAGGGAGCUAGCGUUGUCCGGAAUCAUUGGGCGUAAAGCGCGCGUAGGCGGCCCGGUAAGUCCGCUGUGAAAGUCAAAGGCUCAACCUUUGAAUGUCAGCGGAUACUGCCGGGCUAGAGUCCGGAAGAGGCGAGUGGAACUCCUGGUGUAGCGGUGGAAUGCGCAGAUAUCAGGAAGAACACCAACGGCGAAGGCAGCUCGCUGGGACGGAACUGACGCUGAGGUGCGAAAGCGUGGGGAGCAAACAGG
rnacentral:rRNA from 1 species